ensembl:lncRNA
UCCCCCCUCAGCUAAUUUAGUGAGUACUUUAAUUGAAUCUUGAUGGCAUCAUUCCAAAGUUGUUGAACAAAGCAAUACAUCAUCUACAUAUUGUAUCAGUGUGCUGUCCAGUCUAAGAUCACUUAAGUCUUCGUUUAGAACUUGAUUCAACACAUGUGGUGAAUGUUUGAAACCUUGAGGCAUUUUCGUGUAAGUGAUUUUUUUUUUUUUUUUUACCUUGGUAGGUGAAUGCGAACAAAGGUCUACUCUCCUCGGCUAAGGGAACACUGAAAAAAGCUGAGCAGAGAUCAAUUACGACACCCGCUCAAGCAACCCUUCCACGGGCGGGGACCGUGCCAUUACUUGCUGGACUUCUAAAACAGGCAGAACACUCAGCAGACCGUCGUCAUGGACCCUCUCAGCAUACAGCCAAAGAUGGAUUACAGUGUCCAUUUCCGCAGGGAGACCUCCAGUGAGCUCACCCUUAAACCCUCCUGGGGUGGGAAAAAUCCCAGCACGGGAUGCUCAUGGCCUGCUGCAAGGGUGAAGGAGGAGGCCAUCGCUUGUGUGGCAGCAGCGGGAGCUUCUUCAAGUGGCUGAUGAAGCAGACAGCCAGACCGGGUACAAAGAUGGAAACUCUGCAGAAGUACAUUCAGAGAAGAGAUGCUGAGAUGCUGUCAGAAUCAGCGCCUCCAGUGGUCGCCUCAAUCUCAGCUUCUGCAGAGGAACCAUCUGAUGAAGAUCUGCUUGCUGCAGCGGCACAUAUAGAUGUUCCAGGUGAGCAUUACCUUCCCUUUAAUGGGAUUACAUUUGUGGUUUAAUUAAAGAAUACCGUGCCUUUGUAAAUUGCAUAACCUGUAUGGUUAUUAUGUAUUAUCGGCCUUCAGAUGGAUGGUUUUGAAAACAAUAAGGUAGGAGGUGUACUACACCUUCUGUUCAUGCAGUCUAACAUGGCUUUCUUUCUUUG